rnacentral:tRNA from 1 species
GGGGUUGUGGCUCAAAGGUAGCGAGCUCACCUAGCACGUGGGAGGUGCUGGGUUCAAUUCCCAGCACCACA